rnacentral:lncRNA from 1 species
GUCCAGGAACAUCAUCUGGCAAGGGUGGCAUUCUCGCAGUGCACAGAGGAAGUCAAACAGAGGGAUGUGUUCACUUUGAAAGCAGCUAAGCUUAGAGGUGCACCUUGAAGGCUUGCUUUGACAAUCUGCUGGAACCCAGAGACCAACGACACACAUUGUCAGAUUCUGAAUCAGCAAUAUAUCCUUGGUACUGUCAAAGUCUCCACAGAAGGAAACCAAGAAAGGAAAUGUAAAGUAACCUCCACAAGGUCACUAACAUCCAGCAAAGUAUGAACCCAGAGGCUGUGCAGCUACAGCGUGGGAGGCCCAGCACUUGUGUGAGUGCUCUGUUCAAAUAUGCCCCAACCUCCACAUCCUCAUCAGGGCCUGCAGGGACUUCAUGGCCCUGGAUGGAGAUUCCCACCCAUCCCUGCCACGAUCCCAGAAGCUGCAGCUCAGGUCAGGGUGCAUGCCCAGCCCUGCCCUAUGGCAAAUUCUCACAGUGGGCAGCCUGUUUCCAGCCUGCCUUUGGGGCCUUGCACCUCAGCACACCUCGGACUCAGUGCUGGAGGGCUCAACUCCAGGCCCAUCUCCUGCUGUUCCCAGCUGGACGCUGG